CGUAUCCACGGUCCUGCAUCCGCGGAUUGAACCAGCCACGUAGUAUGUCUAUAAUACGUGGUUGGUUGAAUCCGCAGAUGUGAAACCCGCGGAUAC
rfam:Equus caballus chromosome 18, whole genome shotgun sequence.